AUGGAUCGAGGGGACUGUUACUGGGCUGUUAACAUCUGGUAUUCAGAGCCAUUGAUGCACACCCUGGCGCAUCUGAUCGAGACGAGGCUGCAGAAAUCGAUCAAGGAUCGACUCAGCGCCAUGGAUCCGUCCUUCAAAGACUACUUCGACAAGCUCACCAACUCUCUCGACGCGAUCCACUCCGACAUCCGCUUCCACACCGCCAAGCUGGACGAUCUAGGCCAGUGGCGCCCCGAUCUGGAGCGGCGUGUGGAUCAGCUCUCAACGGCUGUCGCCGAACUCCAAGCGCGACCUGCAAUCACCACGGAGGAGCGGCCGGUGGAGGCACCAGCGCCACCACCACCCGCACCACCAGCGCCGCUGCGUGACCACGUUGGCACCAGCAAGCGCGCGGAGGGCGACGCCCUCGGGUCAAUCGACCGCGGCAUCGACGUCCUACCACAGGGUCUGGCACCGGCGUUCGCGUCGGUGGCCACCCCGGCCAACGGUCAGUCACAACUCCCCGUCUCAUCUACCAUCGCAUCUCCAUAUGCGCAUGCCAGCCAACUUCUCGCGGGAAUUGGCUAG
rnacentral:rRNA from 1 species